GGUGCCGCCUGUCCUGCACAGCCAGGCCCGGCCCGGUGUCAGACCAAGUCGUCGUUGUUCAGCCACGCGGCCGGUGCCCGCCCAGCCCUGGGCCCCGCCGGGAGAUGCAGCUGUUCCUAACUCCUCCACCAACACGGCUAAUACACAUGGAGAUGUGAUGCACCAGCGGAUAAGGACCUGAAGCCAGUGAGGUGGCUUUGCCCAAGGCCCAAAGAUGGGCAAAGCAAAUUUCUCUGGUGGUGGCAGUGGUACCUGUGGCAUGGGAGCUCCAGCAAUGCUCUGGCUUUGGGGUCUUUUGAUGCUCCUUGUUGACAGAAUCAACAAAAACCACGUGUAGCAGCAGCAAAAAUAGGACUGAGUUACAACCACAGCUUCAUCUCCUCCAGCAAUUUGUCUCCAAAAGCAGCUGGUGGUCAGUGGGCAAGGCUGGAAACCAACAUUCUCCAGCCUCCCGUCAUCCCAUGUGUUCCAAGGGCCAGGGUUCUCAGAGAUAAGAAACAGGUGGAAGAAGGAGGCUGAGGUCUGGCACUACCCUGGCUCUGGGAAAAGCAAAUCCACCCUCUCCUGAGCCUGCUCCUCUUUCCCUGAGGUGGCACAGCCUGGUGCCCAUCCAUUGAACCAGACUCAGGAAAACCUGACUGAGCUACAGGAAAUGGGGUUGGUUUUUACCAGCCAAACUAUUUUUAAAAACUUUAAUAAUGUAAACAAAAUACUGCUGUUGUUGUUUUGUUUGGGGUUUUUUUUUGGGUUUUUGUUUGUUUGUUUGUUUUGGGGGGUUUUUGUUGGUUUUGUUUUUUAAACACAGCCAAGAUAAGGAAAGCCAAGAGACUGAAGAUCUUGCUGGUAUCACUGUGUUUCAUAUUACAUUUUUUUUUGCCUCAUCCCUGAAUAUUGAUAUUCCCACAGCUGGCAGUAAUUCCUGCUCCUAAAAGCAGGAACACUAGGAGCAUCAUUGCUGGAUUAUGCAGUGAGUAACAACCACCACCAAAGUGCUGAAACUGAAACUGCAGACUUCACACAGGGCAAAUCACUGUCACUAAAGGCUCUAAAAUGUAAAGUAAACUUUAUUAUCCUUGAACCACAAAAUAGAUUUCUUUGGUUGUACAAAUUUCACUAGUUACAGUCUUGCUGCGCUAAUUUUCCCUCUGAGUCUCUUGGGAGAGAACGGGAGAGAAUCCAGAGCCUGGCACCAGGUACCGCACAGGAAAAGAAGAGAAGAAUCACAAGUUAGUCACCAAAACCCAGCCAGGAUUGUUUCCAAAACUGCUGUUGUUAAAAAGCAAAUGCUAAAAUUAGAUUUAAAAAGGAAAAGCUCAAAUUGCUGAUGAUGGAAGCAGCUGCAGCUGCAGUGUGAGAUUAUCAGUUCCUCCUUCACAAGUUUGUAAAAUCAAAACAUACAGAGUCAGUUAAAAUGAUCUGCUGGAUUUUGGCAUGAAAGGAGAUGCUCAACUAAAAAACUGCACCCAAAAAACUGCAUCCAGCUCUUUCCUUCAGCAAAUGCACAAGCAGAUGUGCCUGUCACUGCCCAGCCACUGUGAGGCUCGAGGUCCAACCCUGGUCUUACUGGGGAGUCAGAGAGCACCAAAGGACAAGGAAUGGGAUUGUGCUGAGCUUGAACCUUCCUCACGGUUAGAGGCAGUGAAAAAAAACCAAAAAGAAAAGGGUUGUUUCCCCUCACUAGUGGCAGCAGAAGCUGAUGGCAGAGUCAGGAGCAGCAGCUGUGACCUCCACAUCUGCAGAGCUCACAUGAUACAGAAUCUGCUCACAGCCCUUGUUCCACAUGUGGAAACCAGGACUCACACCCCCACUCAUUUCUCAUUUUCCUUUUUCCCUCUUGCGUGGCCAAACGUGCAUUUUCCCUGUCUUCCAUGGAAAGGGGCCUGAAGCCAAUGAGCUGGCAGAGUGGAACUGUGUAGUUAUUGCAAGGCACAGGCCAGCCCCAUCCUGCUGUGUGGUGCUCCUGGUGCUCCCUGCCAGCCCACACCAGCACCCUGACACCCCACUCCAGCCUCAGCCAGCGUGGACACCGUGGACUCCCCACCAGUGUCUCCCAAGUCAAAGAUCCUGUAACUCCCAACCUGACCCGAGCAACGCCACGUUCCACCCAUCCCCAGUUCCUGAACUCUACCCACUAAGGUACCUGCUGUCACACCUCCCACCUCUGCCACCGUCUCCUACCCCAAUUGUCCUGCUCCCCCCUGCUGUCACACACCCCCUACACCCCUGCUAAGGCUGCUGGCUCCAUCCCAUUCCUGCCCCAGUUGACCAGUUCAGCCCCAGUGCUACAGGAGAGACCUGUUGUAGACAACCCUCCAGUUGUGGGCUCAUGGAGUGGCUCACACCGUGUGUGACAAAGGGGUGUGACCGACCAGGGAGGGACCUGUCCCCAGGACAGUGCAAAGCCCCGGCAGGAGCACUGUCCCACCAAGACAGAGGCAGGUGGUGGAGAGCUGGCUCUGUUUUCCUUAAGCACAGAGUGUCAGU